UAGGCAAAAGUUUGUAGUCUGCGUUCCCU
rnacentral:piRNA from 1 species